UACGUAGGGUGCGAGCGUUGUCCGGAAUUACUGGGCGUAAAGAGCUCGUAGGUGGUUUGUCGCGUUGUUCGUGAAAACUCACAACUCAAUUGUGGGCGUGCGGGCGAUACGGGCAGACUGGAGUACUGCAGGGGAGACUGGAAUUCCUGGUGUAGCGGUGGAAUGCGCAGAUAUCAGGGGGAACACCGGUGGCGAAGGCGGGUCUCUGGGCAGUAACUGACGCUGAGGAGCGAAAGCGUGGGGAGCGAACAGG
rnacentral:rRNA from 1 species